AACGAACGCUGGCGGCAGGCCUAACACAUGCAAGUCGAACGCCCCGCAAGGGGAGUGGCAGACGGGUGAGUAACGCGUGGGAACCUACCCAGUGGUACGGAACAACCCAGGGAAACUUGGGCUAAUACCGUAUACGCCCCUAGGGGGAAAGAUUUAUCGCCAUUGGACGGGCCCGCGUUGGAUUAGCUAGUUGGUGGGGUAAUGGCCUACCAAGGCAACGAGCCAUAGCUGGUCUGAGAGGAUGAUCAGCCACACUGGGACUGAGACACGGCCCAGACUCCUACGGGAGGCAGCAGUGGGGAAUCUUGGACAAUGGGCGCAAGCCUGAUCCAGCCAUGCCGCGUGAGUGAAGAAGGCCCUAGGGUUGUAAAGCUCUUUCGGCGGGGACGAUAAUGACGGUACCCGCAGAAGAAGCCCCGGCUAACUCCGUGCCAGCAGCCGCAGUAA
rnacentral:rRNA from 1 species